GAGGACUCGGUUUGGCAACACGGCCUUCCAUCUACCACCAACCUACUGAAGCGCAGCUCAGAAACAGCCUCAAUUCCUCUGGGUAUGGACUCUACACGGUUUUGAAAGAGCUCCACAAUGAUGCUGGCCGAUGUUGACUUCAAUGCUUCCCACAGUUGUCAUGAUGGCUGGAUAUCCUUUGUGUGGUGGACUAUGGAAUAACAAUUGGGUCUUAAAUCACUUGGUCAAAACGCAAUCUAUUUAAUGCUACGCGUGUUAUGUAAGCAGGUACAGAUGCUAAAUGAACGCGUUCACGUGUGAAGUUAACGUCUUCAAGUUAAUGCCUAUACAUGUCAAAUAAGUGCGUGCAAAUAUGCUUGCAGCAGGUUGUCCAACGUGCUAAAUAAAUGGCUGCAAGCGGUCCUGCACACGCUAAAUAUACACCUACACAUGCUAACUUAAUGCAUUCUAUAAUAUGCUAAUUUUACUAUUAAAUUUCCCUAGCUCCUCCUUUCAACCAGAUUUCACGGUUUGAAGGAACUUCCUUUUUCACUGCAAGCAGAGCAUGAACCUUCACAAGAAGGGAACCAUGAAGAGGAGCUUGGAGUGGGCAAGGGAGAGGCUGAAAAAACAGCAAACACUUCAAUCCGACGCCCUUGCUAAUGUUUGACGUCAGGCAAAACGUCUUCAGCCACCGUAGGAUGGAGAGACACUGGUUUCACAGUGUCUGUGUGUCUACCAAGAAAGGACGUUAGAAGUUAGGUCCCCAUGAUAUCGAAGCUUCUUACCAUCUUCACCGCAGCCCAGUCGAUAUCGAUUUUAAAAACUGGAACAAUAGAUAUCGUGUAGCACAUGGUAGCAAAAAUCCACUGGACCAACUCUAGUUUGCCUAUUGUCCCAACAAAUGUGUUAAUUAUGCAUUUUACAUACGUCAGAGUACGUUUUCUUUUAUAGCUUUGCUUUCAACAACAUCCUGACCCACAAACUGGUUAGCAAACUCAGGCCUCUGGGUGUAAACUUAUCACAAGAAUGUGUAUCCCCAGAAUGGAUCCAACACCUAAACAUGCUGACAACACAACCAUGGUGAUCUUGAGUACAUGAAGGAGCUGUGGGACCUGACAUAAUGGUGAUAAGGACAACAGCCUUCAGCAAAACAAAGUAGAUGGUGAUACUUGACCAUUCUCCCAUCUACUGUACCUUGGCAUGGAGAUGAUCAGCAGCUUCAAGUUCCUGGGCACCCUGAUAUCCUUUUCUGCUCUCAGUCACUUCACUCAAAAAGUCCCACCAGCGCUUCUCAACUACCAUCCUCAACUUGCUGCACCACAACCUAUGUACCAACUACAGUGUCUGUUUGUAUUGCCAUUACACAUGUAAAUUAAAUGUUGUCCAUAUUUACAGUAAGAUCUAUUUAUGGUAACAUUGCACAUAUUGUAACAUUAGUCACUUGACAUACAUGACUUAACUACUUUGCAUAAUGCUCAGUUUACCCACUUUACUAAGAAAUCAUACAUUUAUUAAAAGAUUAUUACAGUAUUACUGUGUCCCAUUGA